rnacentral:lncRNA from 1 species
AGAUUACAGACUACAUAAUACAAACAUAUUAACUAAAAACAAAACAAAAAUAGGGUUAGCAGCAAAUAUUUACCUCCAUUUAAGCAAAAAUUUUGAAACUUUCAAAGCUCAGCAGCAACGAUGCUAAACAACAGUGAAUGAAAUAAAAAAGGGUUAGGUUACAAACAAGCUUCAUUUCUUUCAUAAAUUCAAACCAAAUUCAAACCAAAUACCCUAAAAUACCCACUGCUCUAAAAAAAAUCCUAAAAUUAAAACCAAAAUUUGAAUUGCAGGUCUUAAUCUUUAAUAUGUAACCAUAAUUCGUUCAAAAAAUUGAAGUAUCAUGCAUGAACAAUGUCAGACUGCAAAUAUAUCAUCACUCUUCCAUCUGUUCUUUAAUAAAAACAAAAACUAACCAAUCAAAACAAACCUAGCGUGCAGCAUAACCUAUUUAACAAAAAGAAACAUAAACGUAAUUAAUGCAGCAGCAUAACAACAAACUAGCAGCAGUAACAGAGCCUAGUAGUUUCACUUAACCUAAUUUCAUAAAACAAAAAUUAAUUUGUAGCAGCCCUAAUUAGAAUAAUUUAAUAGAAGAACCUAAAUGCUAGUAGCCCUAAUUUGUACAAUGAAACUAAUAGUUCAUAAUUUCUUUGUCAAUUUCAAAUAAUCAUCACAACACAACCUAACCUAAUUGGUGGCAGCCCUAAUUCGACAACCCUAAAACCUUAACAGAAAAAAAUAUAUCAUCACAUCAACCUCAACCAUCAAAUCGAGAAGCCUAAUUUAAAAGAAAGAAACCAUAAAUUUAAUUUAGAAUAAACCCUAAAUUCAAAGGAAGAUGAUGCUCUCACCUUUGACUGAUAUGAG